AGUUGCCCUGUGGAGCGGCCAGGGAAGGCCUGCCCUAGUUUCACCCACCCCAUCCAUCUCCCUGGGCACACCUGCUCCUGCCAUCGGCACUCCUACUAUCAUGGCUGCAUCUGGGGUUUGGAGUUCACAGAAACCUCUUAAAAAGGCACCCAAUUGCUCAACUUUGCUAAGCAGAUGAAGAGUGAAAUAAAUGUUGCUUCACCAGCUGGUUGUUAUAAAGGCCAGCAUCACAUCAGUGGAGACAGUCCAGCCUCCCAGCCAGCCCUAAAGACACAGGCACCAGGAAAGGACCAGGCUCUCCAAGCCCCGGCCAGGCAACUUUGGCCCCAGUGGGCUGGAUGGUGGGAUGCAAUGAACCAUCCAACUUGGUGACUAAGGCUCUUUCUAACCAUGGAGUGUGGACAAAGGGAAAGUCUGUCAUCAGCAGACAAAGGGCUGGAAACCAAAUGAAAAUGCAGCAUCUCCAGGCAAUUUCCUUAAAAUGGAUCAACUUGAAACAUUCUCUAUCACAGGACCAGUAGACAGGAGAGGAGCCAAAGAAGGAAGGACUGUGCGUGUCGGAGCAGACAAAGAAUUAAUAAAAGGGUCACUGAACCUGCUCUGAAUCUCAGAUGCAUCCUUCGUGAAGUGAAAAAAGAUUCCCCUGAGCUGCUAAGAGCAAGGAAACACAAUCCGGGCUGAGCUGGAAACUCUAGAUCUGCUACAACCUGGUUAAUUGCUACUGGGCAGAGAGGCAAAGAAUAGAUAAAAAUUUGCAGCUGUAAAAAAAAAAAAAGAAAUCUGAAAGGGAUAGAGCAGCUUAGUAAAAAGAAAGCUGGAAUCUGAAGCCACCUCCAUUCAUUCAUGGAACACCUAUGAGGCGCCUAUUCCCAUAGUGUCACAAGCACUGACUGUCGUAGGUCCAGGGAGACACAGGUCCCUCAAAGAGCUUACUCCUAGAGUAGCAGGUUUAUAUUUGUAAUUAUAAACAAAUAACUACAGUAAAAUGUGGCAAGUGGCAAGAAAGAGAAAGGCACAAAGCACUAUGGGUGCACCCAGGGCAGGAAGGUCCUGGCGGGUGAUGGGCAGCUCCCUGGGGGCAGCAUGGGGAACAGCAGAGGGAACAGCAUAUGUGAAGGCCGAGGGGCCAAUCAUCUUGACCUGGAAGGUGAAUCACAAGCAUUCCUACCUCGCUGAAGCACAGUGUGAAGGAAGGGAGAGGCGAGAGACAGGGCUUGGAAGGCAGGCUGAAGCCAGUUGUAAGGGACCUCUGAAUCAUGUGCAGAAGUAUCUGGGAUUUCUCCAUGAGGAAUCAUCGAAGCCUUCUUCAAGUAAGGGAGUAACUGAGAUCAAACCUGUGGUUUAAACAAAACAAAACAAAACAAACCUGUCAUUUUUCGUUUGCUUUCCUUUUGUUUAUUUAAAUAAACUAGUUUUGAAAAGCA